rnacentral:rRNA from 1 species
AUUGAACGCUGGCGGCAUGCCUUACACAUGCAAGUCGAACGGCAGCACGGGGGCAACCCUGGUGGCGAGUGGCGAACGGGUGAGUAAUGCAUCGGAACGUGCCCAGCAGUGGGGGAUAACCAGUCGAAAGACUGGCUAAUACCGCAUACGACCCAAGGGUGAAAGCGGGGGACCGUAAGGCCUCGCGCGAUUGGAGCGGCCGAUGUCUGAUUAGCUAGUUGGCGGGGUAAGAGCCCACCAAGGCGACGAUCAGUAGCUGGUCUGAGAGGAUGAUCCGCCACACUGGGACCGAGACACGGCCCAGACUCCUACGGGAGGCAGCAGUGGGGAAUUUUGGACAAUGGGGGCAACCCUGAUCCAGCCAUGCCGCGUGAGUGAAGAAGGCCUUCGGGUUGUAAAGCUCUUUCGGCCGGGAAGAAAUCGCACAGGCUAAUACCUUGUGUGGAUGACGGUACCGGAAUAAGAAGCACCGGCUAACUACGUGCCAGCCGCCGCAGUAAGAC